AGCGGUGGCCUCGUUAAUGGGGGCCUCCCAGAGCUACAGGCUUUCUCCUGCAGUGGCGGGACCCCAGACCCGAGCCCAGCUGGUAGAAGGGCCGCUUCAGUGAAGCCCGGCUCCUCCCAGGGAGCCCCCGGCCGGUCCAGAGGCACGUAGAAAUUCCCGGGCCAGGGCCGGAGCCCACACCACGGUAGUGACCUGAGCUGCUGCAGUGACAACGUUGGAUCCUUAGCCUGCUAUACCACAAGGGAACUCCCCUUCCUUCAUUUUUUAAUUGAUCUGUUCCGCAGACAUUGUGCCCCUCUGUGCUUGGCACUGCACAUACACAGCCCCCAUCUGGGCUCACCCCUCGGGGUCAUUGGCCUAUCGUGGGACAAGGACAUUCAUGGAUGCCCUGGGCAAGCGCGGCUCUGGGCGCCUGAUUGCCAGGCCCUGGCCUAGGCACUGUGGGAGAAGAUGAGCAUGAAUAAGAUCAGGUCCCCCCUCCAGGACUGUAGAUCUGUAGAAAGAAGAGGACAGGUGCACAGUUGUGGGUAUGAACAAAGUGCUUUGAGACCACAGAUGACAGAACAGUGACUUUGGCCCUGGGGAAAUCUGGGAGCUUCCCAAAUGCCCAGUCCUUGUGCCAAGUGGGGGCCUCCUGAACCUUUGCUGAAUUAAGUUGGAUGGGAGAAGAAAGGGGAAAUGAUAGAGACUGAAAAAGAAAAGGAAGGUUAGGGAGGGGAAAGCAAUGACUGAGCAUUUUUACAACAUCUGCAUGAAGUGGUCCUGCCACGCAUCCCAGUGGGAUGGCUUGUGGACGAAUGAGAUCCUGGGCAGCCAGCAACUCCCGGGAAGAAACGUGUUAUGUACAGGAUAUUAUUAGUCUAUCCUCGUCAGAGCAGUAAGUGCUUCUAGCCAAGAAGCCUCUGUUUCCCCCUAGGAAAACCCAAGGACCACGCGCCUCUCUCUGAGGGCUCAGUUGCCCCAUCUGCAACGUGAGGGAUUUGCACGUGGAAGAAGAUGGUCCAGGGUGGCGGCCUCCUCCAAGAAGAUGCUCUGUGGGACAGCCGUGUCUGACCAGGAUGCCCUCUGUCCUUUCCUGCUCACCCCUGGGUUGAGCUCAGACGUCCCCGUGACAUCACAAAGGCCACUCCCUGUCCUGUUUGUCUUGCUGGUCAAACAAAGUGGGGCAGAAAGGAAGGCACUGUGGACUUUCCUGCCGGAAGUUCUGUAAAUUUGGGGGCACAGGCUUUUGACCUGAGUCCUGAAAAUGCCUCCUCUGUGACCCACCCACCCCCGCCCCCGCCCCCACCAUCCCAGACCCAACGUCUCUUUUUCUCUGGGGAAACCUCAUCCUUUUCCAAAUCCACAUGCGUUGCCCCCUUGAUGGCCAGAAGUGCUGGGGUACAAGAUGCCCUGGUGAAAAAGGAUGGAGGCUGUAGCUGGGGGAGAGACCAGCUUGUUCUAGAAACUGCCU
rnacentral:lncRNA from 1 species